AUGCUUGACCUUAUUGAACGUGUUGAGUGGCAGAGCCAUAAGGAACCAGCAGCCAAACUUCUCCCACACAUCAAGGAUGCAGUUUAUGAUGCUGAGGACUUUUUUGAUGAGUUCAAAUAUUAUGCACUCAAGUUGAAGCUUGAGGAGAGCAAGAGUUCAGGUGAAAACCACAUGCAUGCUGCCUUUCGAGAGUUCUUCGAAAGUGUCCAUCAUUGUGACCACUUUAACAAAGUGAAGGAAAUCCAAGGUAAUCUAGAUCACAUCUAUCACCAGUCGAAGGAUUUAAGAUUGCAUAAAGAACCAUUGAAGUUUGACAAAUCAUUUAGGCCAGACACAAGUGCUUUUUCCAUGGUGCCACAAAUAUUUGGGCGUGAAGAAGAACUAAAGCACUUGGUCCAAAUGCUAGGAGUACAUACAAGCAAGAGAGGGAGGACUAACCGUGAAGCAAGCUCAACUGUGUUGCGCGUGCUUCCCAUAUUUGGUAUGGGGGGUGUCGGAAAAACAACUAUAGCACAACAAAUCUGCAAUGAUGCAAAAGUGAAGGAGCACUUUGACUGCAUUAUUUGGGUGUGUGUUUCUGAUGAUUUUAAAAUAAUGAGGUUAACUAAAGAGAUUCUGGAGCAUAUGGAACAAGAUACAACAUCUGAUAAUUUGAAUUAUCUAAUGAGUAAACUGGCUAGUUGUGUGGAAUCGAAAAGGUUCUUACUUGUCCUUGAUGACAUGUGGGGUGAUACCAUUAGAGAUGGUGGGGAGGAGUGGGAGAAAUUUUGCAUGCCUUUGAGAAAGGCUCUUCAAGGAAGUAUGAUUUUGGUCACCACAAGAUUUUUUAAGGUUGCUAAUCUAGUCAGCACUGGCAUGAAGAGCUUUGAGUUGGAGGGCUUGCAAGAUGCUGUUUUUUGGGAGUUCUUCAAAUUAUGUGCAUUUGGAUCCAAUAGGAGUUGCAACGACCUAGAGUUGGAGUGCAUUGGAAAAGACAUACUUCCUAAGUUGAAGGGUUCUCCCUUGGCUGCCAAAACUCUUGGACGCUUGUUGCAAAGGGACCUAAGCACAACACAUUGGGAAUCUAUAUUGACAAGUGAGUUGUGGCAAUUAGAACAAGAUGUGGCUGACAUUCUGCCAGCCCUUAGAUUGAGUUAUAUGUACCUACCACCAUUAUUGAAGAAGUGCUUCUCACUUUGUGCAAUGUAUCCCAAAGAUCACCAAUUUGAUAAAAUGUUUUUAACCGAUAUUUGGAUAGCACAAGGAUAUGUGGAACCUCAAGAGGCAUCCUUGUGUUUUGAUGAGCUUGUAAAAGGAUCAUUCUUUCAGAGAGCAGCUGAACAAAAUAAAAAGUAUGUUAUUCAUGAUUUGAUGCAUGAUACGGCACAGCUGGUCUCAAUGUAUGAAUGCUUCAUCAUAAAACACGCA
rnacentral:rRNA from 1 species